rnacentral:rRNA from 1 species
UACGUAGGCAGCAAGCGUUGUUCGGAGUUACUGGGCGUAAAGGGUGCGUAGGCGGCCCUGUAAGUAUGGUGUGAAAUCUCCCGGCUUAACUGGGAGGGUGCGCUAUAGACUGCGGGGCUCGAGUGUGGGAGAGGAAAGUGGAAUUCCUGGUGUAGCGGUGAAAUGCGUAGAUAUCAGGAGGAACACCGGUGGUGUAAACGGCUUUCUGGACCAUAACUGACGCUGGAGGCGCGAAAGCUAGGGGAGCAAACAGG